AUAAUGCCAUAAUCUUUGAGCAUCUUUCCUCUUUGAUGUCACUUGACAUACCUAAUUUUCCUUAGAAAUACCAAGUAAAAACAUGCAUGAAGGUAGUAUCCCCUUUGGUUUGAUAUUGUGAAAAGAUAGAAGAGGAUUUUUUGUGAAGAAAAGCUUGAUAAUUUCCCUAAAGUAUGAUUGGGAAUUUAUUAUAGAAUACAAAAU
rnacentral:misc_RNA from 1 species